UCCUGCUAAAGGCCUACAAAAUCAGA
rnacentral:piRNA from 1 species